rnacentral:rRNA from 1 species
CAACCUGCCCUUCAGAGGGGGACAACAGUUGGAAACGACUGCUAAUACCGCAUACGAUCUAACCUCGGCAUCGAGGAUAGAUGAAAGGUGGCCUCUAUUUAUAAGCUAUCACUGAAGGAGGGGAUUGCGUCUGAUUAGCUAGUUGGAGGGGUAACGGCCCACCAAGGCGAUGAUCAGUAGCCGGUCUGAGAGGAUGAACGGCCACAUUGGGACUGAGACACGGCCCAG